CCUACGGGGGGCUGCAGUGAGGAAUAUUGCGCAAUGGGGGCAACCCUGACGCAGCGACGCCGCGUGAGUGAGGAAGGCCUUCGGGUCGUAAAGCUCUGUCAAAGGGAAAGAAGUGUGCAAUGGCUAAUACCUGUUGCAUUUGACGGUACCCUUAAAGGAAGCACCGGCUAACUCCGUGCCAGCAGCCGCGGUAAUACGGAGGGUGCAAGCGUUGUUCGGGGUUACUUGGCGUGUUUGACACGUAGGAUGUGAAAGCCCACGGCUUAACUGUGGAAGUGCAUUUGAAACUGUCAGACUUGAGUACCAGAGGGGAAAGUGGAAUUCCCGGUGUAGAGGUGAAAUUCGUAGAUAUCGGGAGGAAUACCGGUGGCGAAGGCGACUUUCUGGCUGGAUACUGACGCUGAGGCGCGAAAGCGUGGGGAGCAAACAGGAUUAGAUACCCCAGUAGUC
rnacentral:rRNA from 1 species